ACUGUGAUGUGUGGGGUUGCACAGAGGACUGCUCUGUUCUAUUUCUGCAGAUGUGUUUGAUGAGCUGACCUUCUGUUAACGGUCUUUGGGACUGAGCUGUCAUGUCUCAGAGAUUUGCUUCUUUCGAGCUGUCUCAUCAUUGCCUCAUAAACUGCCAAGUGCCCUCCUGGAUCAUCCAUCAUGUCAGCCAGGGGCAGAGAGUCAUGCAAUAUAGAGGAUGUUGGGACCACUUCUGUGUAUCCACUUCUGUAUCCAAGGAUACAGCCAAGGGGCAGGGCUUGGAAUUUCCAGCCUUCAGCAGCUAUUCCUGUAGGUACUAGCUGAUUUAUAAUAGGUAAUAGACACAAAUGAUAAAACCAGACACUUUCAGAGUUGGAAAGAAUCUUGUCUGUGAUCUAACCUAACUUUCUCAUUUUACAGAAAUAGAGAUGGAGGUCAGAGAUCUCACAGGCUCCCUCAAACAGAACUGCAUCUCAUCUCGAGCCUCCCAGCUCUGUGCCUACAUGCUGCCCCAGACCUCAGGCUGUCCACUGAUGUCAGCAUUGCCUGCACCGGGGUGACCCUCAUUUCUUUGUGCAUCUCCUUCAUCUCUGCCAGCUCUGGGUAUGGAGCUAGGAACAAGUGCUACUUUGUUGGACUGUAUCAGCUGGGAUCAACUUGCUGGACUCUUGUGACAGGGCUGAAAGUUCAGUGGAUGGACUGCUGUUUGGGAAAGUUGGUGAUAGGCCCACAGUAAUCCCAUCCAAGGGUCAUGUCAUCUCCAGCUCCUCCUUGCCUCAUAUCCCCAAAGUCUCCUCUUCUUCUUCCCUGAGUUCCUCCCCUUCUCACCCCAACACAAGAGCUUUUGUGAAAAGCUUAUGUUCCCUGACUAUAGCAGAAUUCUCUUUAAAAGAAAGCUUACCUUUCUAACUCCAAAAGCUUCAUGAGCUAUUUAACGGUAAUUAUAUUUAUUAUGGAUAAUUUUCUAUACAUUCAUCCAGUCUGGGGUGUAUGCCUUAUCCCCCUUUAUGGCUUGAUCAGAAAUUUAAGAUUUUCCUCCCAGCUCACUCUCCUCUCAUACGGAUAUUGUCUAAAAGGAAAUAUAUACAGUGUUCUUAAAUGAUGCUGUCACCUCUCACUCAAGGGAAGGAAAAACUGUUCCAG
rnacentral:lncRNA from 1 species